rnacentral:rRNA from 1 species
GUCCGCGGCCACGCCACCCUGAACGUGCCCCAUCCCGUCUGACCUCGGAAGCUAAGCAGGGUCGGGCCUGGUGAGUGCUUGGAUGGGAGACCGCCUCGGAAGACCAAAUGCUAUAAGCG